rnacentral:rRNA from 1 species
GAUGAACGCUGGCGGCGUGCCUAAUACAUGCCAGUCGAGCGAACAGAUGAGGAGCUUGCUCCUCUGACGUUAGCGGCGGACGGGUGAGUAACACGUGGAUAACCUACCUAUAAGACUGGGAUAACUUCGGGAAACCGGAGCUAAUACCGGAUAAUAUAUUGAACCGCAUGGUUCAAUAGUGAAAGACGGUUUUGCUGUCACUUAUAGAUGGAUCCGCGCCGCAUUAGCUAGUUGGUAAGGUAACGGCUUACCAAGGCAACGAUGCGUAGCCGACCUGAGAGGGUGAUCGGCCACACUGGAACUGAGACACGGUCCAGACUCCUACGGGAGGCAGCAGUAGGGAAUCUUCCGCAAUGGGCGAUAGCCUGACGGAGCAACGCCGCGUGAGUGAUGAAGGUCUUCGGAUCGUAAAACUCUGUUAUUAGGGAAGAACAAAUGUGUAAGUAACUAUGCACGUCUUGACGGUACCUAAUCAGAAAGCCACGGCUAACUACGUG